CCUCAAAUCAGGUAGGACUACCCGCUGACUUAAGCAUAUCAAUAAGCGGAGGAAAAGAAACUAACAAGGAUUCCCCUAGUAACUGCGAGUGAAGCGGGAAAAGCUCAAAUUUAAAAUCUGGCGGCUUUGUCGUCCGAGUUGUAAUUUAGAGAAGUGUUACCCGUGUUGGACCGUGUACAAGUUCCCUGGAAUGGGGCGUCAUAGAGGGUGAGAAUCCCGUCUCUGACACGGACUCCCAAUGCAUUGUGGUGCGCUCUCGAAGAGUCGAGUUGUUUGGGAAUGCAGCUCAAAAUGGGUGGUAAAUUCCAUCUAAAGCUAAAUAUUGGGGAGAGACCGAUAGCGAACAAGUACCGUGAGGGAAAGAUGAAAAGAACUUUGGAAAGAGAGUUAAACAGUACGUGAAAUUGCUGAAAGGGAAACGCUUGAAGUCAGUCGCGUUGUGCGGGACUCAGCCUUGCUUUUGCAUGGUGUACUUCCUGUACGACGGGUCAACAUCAGUUUUGGCCGGUGGAUAAGGAUGUAGGGAAUGUGGCAUCCUCGGAUGUGUUAUAGCCCUAUGUCGCAUACAUCGGUUGGGACUGAGGAACUCAGCGCGCCGGCAAGGCCGGGAUUUAUCCACGUUCGCGCUUAGGAUGUUGGCAUAAU
rnacentral:rRNA from 1 species